rnacentral:lncRNA from 1 species
AUGUGUAUGUGGUGUGUGUGUGGGGGGUGUGUGCGUGUGUGCGUGUGGUGUGGUAUGUGUGUGUGUGGUGUGUGUGUAUGUGGUGUGUGUGUAUGUGGUGUGUGUGUGAUGUGUGUGGGGGUGUGUUUGGUGUGUGUGUGGUGUGUUGUGUGUAUGUGUGUGUGUCCUGGAGUGGGUACCGCCUGCGAUCACUCGGGAUGCUCUGGCGGUCUGGGUAAGCCCGCGGAGGAGCAGGCGCGUCUGCAGACCUCCAGCGCAUCCGUGUUCAGCCCGAAGCUCACGACGGGCCUGCGAGCCCGGCGAUCACAAGUGCGGAUGCACGGGGCGACGCCGUCCGCUCCGAUCCCUAACUCAUUAUUAAGCCGCUCGCUCUUUGCAGACGCUCCCUGCGCCUCCCCCGCUCCGGGCUGCGGCGGCGGCGCAGGCGCCGGGCCGAGCCGAGAGCCGAGCGGGGAGCGAGCGGCCGCGCUCCGGGCCGGGGUCCCGGGGGAGCAGGUGAGCGACCCGCGCCGCGCGGUCCCCGGGCCACCAGAGGAGACGCCGCCGGGCCGCGCUGCGCCGGCGCCCCGGCCUCCCUGUUUGUCGGUGCCCGUUUUGCCUGCGUUGACAUCACCCCCCUCCCUUGCCUGGCACCCCUCCUCCCCCACCCCGCCUGCUAUCUCCUCUCCUCCCGCCUGCCUGGCAUCCCUCGCCCCCCCCCCCACGUCUGGCAUCUCCCCCGCCUCCCCUGGCCUGGCAUCUCCCUGUCCCCCCCACCCCCGGCUGGCACCUCUCUUCUUUCCCCUGCCUGGCACCUCCCCUUACCUGGCAGCCGUCUUCUGCUUCUUCCUCCUCCCCUCCUUCUUUCCUGACCGCCCCCCCCCCCCCACUCCUGACUCUCUCCCUCCCCUGCCGGGCACCUCCCCCACUCCCUCUCUUGCACCUCUUCCAUGCCUGGCAGACUCCCAUCCCUCCCCUCGCAUUCUCCCCCCUCCUCACCCCUGCCUGGCAUCUUUCCCUCCCCCCCACCCAGUACCUCCCCAUUCUCCCCUGUCUUUCCCCUCUUUCCCUUUGCCUGGCACCCUCCUGCCUGCUACCUUCCUCUCUUCCCCCGUGUCUGGCACCCACACCCCUCCCCAUCGCCUGGCACUUCCUCGUGCUGCUCCUGACUGGCACCCUCUGCCUCCUCCCCACUCCCCGCCUGGCACCUGCCCUCUUUCCCCAGCCUGA